AAGGGUAAUUUGCAAGCCACACC
rnacentral:siRNA from 1 species